rnacentral:rRNA from 1 species
GACGAACGCUGGCGGCGUGCUUAACACAUGCAAGUCGAACGGAAAGGCCCUGCUUUUGUGGGGUGCUCGAGUGGCGAACGGGUGAGUAACACGUGAGUAACCUGCCCUUGACUUUGGGAUAACUUCAGGAAACUGGGGCUAAUACCGGAUAGGAGCUCCUGCUGCAUGGUGGGGGUUGGAAAGUUUCGGCGGUUGGGGAUGGACUCGCGGCUUAUCAGCUUGUUGGUGGGGUAGUGGCUUACCAAGGCUUUGACGGGUAGCCGGCCUGAGAGGGUGACCGGCCACAUUGGGAAUGAGAUACGGCCCAGACUCCUACGGGAGGCAGCAGUGGGGAAUAUUGCACAAUGGGCGGAAGACUGAUGCAGCAACGCCGCGUGCGGGAUGACGGCCUUCGGGUUGUAAACCGCUUUAGCCUGUGACGAAGCGUGAGUGACGGUAAUGGGUAAAGAAGCACCGGCUAACUACGUG